rnacentral:rRNA from 1 species
UGGGGAAUAUUGCACAAUGGGCGCAAGCCUGAUGCAGCAACGCCGCGUGAGGGACGACGGCCUUCGGGUUGUAAACCUCUUUUAGUAGGGAAGAAGCGAAAGUGACGGUACCUGCAGAAAAAGCACCGGCUAACUACGUGCCAGCAGCCGCGGUAAUACGUAGGGUGCGAGCGUUGUCCGGAAUUAUUGGGCGUAAAGAGCUCGUAGGCGGUCUGUCGCGUCUGCUGUGAAAACCCGAGGCUCAACCUCGGGCCUGCAGUGGGUACGGGCAGACUAGAGUGCGGUAGGGGAGAAUGGAAUUCCUGGUGUAGCGGUGGAAUGCGCAGAUAUCAGGAGGAACACCGAUGGCGAAGGCAGUUCUCUGGGCCGUAACUGACGCUGAGGAGCGAAAGCGUGGGGAGCGAACAGGAUUAGAUACCCUGGUAGUCCACGCCGUAAACGUUGGGCGCUAGAUGUGGGGACCAUUCCAC